CCUCCCCGUGUGUUUCACCUUAUAGUGUUUAAAUAUUUAUUUUAAUUUUAAUUUUUGACGUGUCGACUUUAUUCUAUUUUUAUUUAGUAGGCUUAUUUGCGAAAAUAAAAAAAAAAGAACAAAAAUACUUGUUUUUAGAGUAUAAGUUUUGUGUUUUAAAGAAAGAAAAAUUACAAAAAUAUACUUUAUAGGUUUUAAUUUUGUUUAGCCAGUCAUUUAUUUUAUGAUUUAUUUUAUUUUUUAUUUUUCAGUUAUCUAAAAAUAGUUAUUAAAUAUUUUUUAUUUUUACAUUAAAAAAUGAACAAAUAGAAUUGUACCACCUCACCACAAAAUGACAAAGUUUGAUAACAAACCUUAUCACAAAAAGGAGGGGGUUCACGUGAAUUGAGGGAAUAUAUUGUUGAGGGUGGGGCCCACACAAUGAAAAAAAAAAUGGGAAAAAGAAAAGCAAGGAAAAAGGGAAUGAUAUAUACACAGAUAGGAGGGGGGAAUCAUUUUAGAGGGGAGGAAUAGAAAAGGAAUACAUAUAGAAUAUAGAGAGAGAAAGCAACGGACAAGGGGAAAAAAAGAAAAAAUCCCAUCAUCUUCUUCAUUUAUUUUCCAUACCAAAACCCACCAUUAAACUACUAGCCUACCACCACCGCCACCCCAAUCGGAAAAAACCCCGUCACCACCCCCUGUCUAUCUAAAACUAAAAAAAAAGGUCACCAAUCACGGUCGAUAUUCUAUCGGGUUGAAAGGUUCAGCGAGUUUGUUCGAGGUUUCCGUCAAAGCUCCGGUCGGAGGAUCCUUGUUUCGUCAAGUUCAGUUAUUGUCAUGCCAGUUGAUGUGUCCAUUUUUGAGAUUCAUUAAUCAAGAAAAGCUUUUACUUUGAGGUCCAUUUUCUCACCUCCCUUAUUUCAUUCUAUGAGUUUAUAUACACUAGUGUGAAGCCAUGAAUUUCUUAUAUGUGAUAAUAUGAAGUUGUCCAUUUUUUGAAUAUGGUAUCAAGUGAGUUUGUGUUCCAUCUAAAUGUUUUGGAUCGGUGGUUUACAAUUUAGAAGAAUUAUUUUCUCUCUCAUAAUAUAGGAUCCGAUGAUUUUAUAGGGAGUUAAUGAAUUUUUGUAAGAUUGAACAUUCAUCACAAUUUGUUUUUCCUUAAAAUCGUGUAAGUUGGAAUUAAUUAAACAAAUCAACUGGUCAGUUGCUAAACUACUGUAAUUUAAAGCUCUAUUAGAGGUUCAUUCCGGUUCUUUGCUGUCUUCAAUUUGAUUCCACAAUCUAACAAAUUUGGUAAAAUUUUAGCUUGAUGUUUAAGCUCGAUUCUUAUGGUUGAAAUGAAUUACAGUAGUUGUUAUUGAAUGAUGAGUGGACUUGUAUUGAUGUAGAGCUUUAAGGUGUUGCUGUAAAAAAUAGAAAAAUGCGUCGAAAACAUUUGAAAAAGUUAAAUCAUUUUGACAAAUCUAAAAGAAGAGGUGGGUCACAGUGGUAAACCGAUUUCGAAGUUAUAUUGUUUAGGAGUAUUAAUGUCAUUCCGUGAUUUUGUUUAAAUGGGCUGCUGGUUCACAGUUAACUUUGGGCCUAGCCAAAAUGUUCGAGGCCCAAUUAAAUAUUAAGUGGUGAGAUAAGCAGGACGAGAUGCGAGUUAUUUCAAAUCUCAUUGUUAAGCGUAAAAGAAAAGAGCGGAAAAAACCAAUCAUGAGGGAGCGAGAUGGGUUGCGAACACGUUUCAAAACCCGUUGUCAUAAGAGUGAAAAUUUAACCGAAUAAUACUUUUAAGUCUUGGAUUUUAGAGACAAAUAAUUGCCUUUAACGCUAGACGAGCUUUAGGCACGUUUUAAGACGUUUGUUUCGAUGAAGAAUGCGGUUACGCAUCUUAUUUCGAGACAUUUUUUAAUAACUCAAGGAUGCGGUUACGCACCUUGGCUAAAUUCGUUUUAAUAAUUAAUCUUGCUUCGAGUAAGAAUGCAGUUAUGCAUCUUAUUUUGAGACGCUUAAAAGAUCCGGAAUGCGGUUACGCAUCCGAGUUAAAACCAAUAAAUGUUCAACAAUAAAAGCACGAGCAAAUCAAGGCUUGGGAACAUAAUUUAUCCAAAAUAGUUUAAGCUAAGUAUAAGUUGAUAAAGCGACCGUGCUAGAACCACGGGACUCGGGGAAUGCCUAACACCUUCUCCCCGGUCAACAGAAUUCCUUACCCGGUCUUCUGUUUUCGCGGACCAUAAUAAAAGAGUCAUUUCCUUUUGAUUAGGGAUUAUAAGGUGGCUUGGAACACCAAAACUCAAUUCCAAGUGGCGACUCUGUAAAAUAACUAAUCCCUACUCACAACCGUCACUUCAAUUGGAAAAACCCUUUAAUAAUAAAAACUUGCGCGUUUAUAGUGCGGGGGCGCAAAAAAGGGGUGUGACAACAAUUACUCCAAUUAACACAUAUCUAAUCUUAACAAUUAAGCAUGUGUCUUGACCAAUUUGGAGGUUGGCGAAGGAAUUGGGACAGACAUGCCUGGGCUUACUAUAGGAAAGGAUUAAAUGUAAUUCCUUUAUCUUAAUCAAAGAUCUUGGAUCUAAUUUUGGCAAUGAAAUAUUUAGAUAUAUGCUAAUCUUGACUAUUAGAACAACUGAAACAAAAAAGACACUCAUAUAGUUUUCUCCUAUAUCCUAAUCAAUUUAUUCUUAGUAAAAUUGCAAUUGGCUUUUACUAAAAAUGAAUGCCAUAUUAACAUAAUCAAAUUUACUCACAUCCAAUAAUUAAAUCAAAUUAAAAAAUAUAUAAUGUGUUACAUUAUUCUUACAUAAUUUAAUACUAUAAUCUAUAAAAAGUUGAUCUUUAAUUACUUAAUGUUGAUUCCAAGAAUUAUAUUUAAUAAAUGAAUUUUUUUUUCUUAGAAGGAGCUUAUUCCUAGGCAAGCAGAUUUAGCUAAAAAUUAAAUUAAUUUAUUUCCUUCUCUUUUCCCAUUACUACUGACCACCUUCAAGAAUUGUGGCACAUAUAAUCCUAUGAUUCGGCUUGUUUGUCCCAAACCUGGUCGACUAAAUUGCAAUUCCCAAAGGGUUAUGAAACUUCCCUUCAGGUGAUUAGUCUUUCUUUUUGUUAAUAUUUUUCAUAGACUAUUAAACCUUUAACAUUCUGUAUUUAAUUUGGGGUUCUUUAAUGAACAACAAUCAAGUUGAGGAAGCUGGAGCAGAAGUAUAUUUGGAUCUCAUUCUCAAAGAGUUAACUAGGUGCCUCGUCCGGAACAAUAUCACGGGCAACACCAGAAACAGUCGGGUAGCAGUUAGAAAAACUUCCGGAAGAUCAUUCCGGGAAUGUUUGCUAGCAACAAUUACAUUAGGAGCAUUUAGGUUACAAAAAGAUCUAGCAUAUGUAGUUCCUUCCAUGUCUGCCCAAAAACUUGCAGCUGCAUACAUAGGUGGAACUACCCGUCAAAUGCGAAUCCAGGAUUUCAGGAGGAUGAGUUCACCUUAGAAUUAUUAUAUUUUUAAAAAGAUGCAAAAGUGCAUUCAGUAGGGUUCAAUCCCACAACCUUAGGGGAUUAAAUCCCAUUACUUAACCAGUGCUCCACUCAGUCUAUUUUGAUUAUAUGUUUCUUCAGUUAAAAUAGAUAUAUUUGAAGGAUUAUAUACACAAUAUACUGAGUUUAGUCGGGUGAUCAUGGGUUCACGUGAACCAUUUUUUACACAUGGAUUCGCCCCUGCUACCAGUAUCAUUCUUUCUCCAAAAAGCUUCCUCCUCGGUCCUUCUCUUGCCAGUGCAUCAGCGACUGAGUUUUGCUCCAUGUAGUAGUGUCCUACUGUUGGAUUCCCCAGCCUCUCUAUCAAGCAUCUGCAUUCAAGAAUCAAAUGAGUAUAAGCGUCAUGGCCAUGCUCCAGAAUAUUUAGUACCUCAGUCGAAUUGCAUUCCACUUCUGGGUGAAAGAAUCCUUGCUUAUGGGCUAGCUUCAUUCCCUGCAUUAAAGUUGUUAAUUCUGCAUGAAUAAUAGAAGAAUUUGGCAGUCCUUUGGUAAGGCCUAUAAUCCAGUUUCCACUGUUGGUUCUAAUGACUCCCCCAAUCCCUUUUAUGCCCGUUUUUUCAUGAAAGGUUCCAUCAGUGUUAAGUUUAUAGAAACCUCUUUUAGGGGGGUUCCAUUUGACAUUGAUAGUGACUUUGUUGCUAGGUAAAAUAGGAAGCAAGUUAUAUUCUAGGGCACAUUAAUAGUGGUGGUGUAACUAAUAGGGUUGUGGAGGUGAUUACAUUGGUUUUUAUUUCUAUUGAUUCAUAUGUUCCAGAGGUAGAAGGGGAUGAAGUCAAUCCAUUUCAAGCAAUUAUUAUAGUACUUGUUUUUAUGAUGUCCCAUGUGGCUUGCCAGCUACUGGGGAAAAACUGAUCAUGAUGCUUCUAGAGUCCAUAGAGGCUUUAGCACAUACUUCAUUCCAGAAGGAGGAAGCAAUGUGGCAUUCAAAGAAGAUGUGCUUCAUGGAUUCAUUUUGAGUAUUACAAUGGUGGCAGGUAUUAGGAAUAGGUAUUCCUACAGAGGAAAUGAAGCUGUUGGUUAGGAGUCUGGCAUGGUUAAAGGUCCACAUAAAGAAUUUCAACUUGUUUGGGACAUUGAGUUUCCAGUCUCAAUUGAAUUCUUUUGUAUUUGCCUGCUGGGUGGUUCUGGUAGAGGAGUCAAUGAUGUUGUAGGAAGAUUCGAUAGUGAACUUACCACUACUAUGGAGGUUCCAAGCAAUGGUGUCCUCCUUGCCAGAGUUAGCAGGGAUGAAGAUGUUCUGAAUGGCCUCAGUGAUGUUAUUGGGGAGUUCAAAAGGGAUGAGGUGAAGGUUCCAUCUGUUGUCGUGAUAGACAUCAAUAAUUUUUAGAUUUUCCAUACCUAGGGGAAUGAGGCCAAGGAUGCAACUUCUAAUGGUUCCUCUGUUAGGGAUCCAAUUAAUGUGUCAAAAGUUAUUGCUCUUACCAUUGUGGAUGACAUUAGUGAUACCUUUGUUGCAAGUUCUCCAUCCUUGGAGAAUGGCUUUCCAAGGUUUGGAGUGAAUUGUUUUAGGAUUUAGGUCCAUUCCAUAGCGAUUAGCAAUAAGGAUUGAAGCCCAGUUGGAGGUAGGGUUCUUUAGUAAUCUCUAAGCAAGGCUGGCCAGUAGGGCCUUGUUUUUAGAUUCAGCUUUUUGGAUUUCCAAGCCCCUUUUACUUUUUGGUAAGGUAAUGGUGUCUCACCCUUCUAGAUGCAUCUUCUCAUUCUCAGAGGUGGUGCCCCAGAUGAAGUUCCUUUAGGCUCUAUUGAUGUGCUUUGUGAUAGUGCUUGAGAGAGUGACGUACUGUAUGACAUGAUUUAGGAUGCUGCUGAGGGUAGUUGUAACAAAGGUGGUUCUUCCUGCCAGAUUCAUGAAUUUAGUCUUCCACCCAGCCAUUCUGUUAUUUAGGUUAUCAGUGAUGUAUUGAAAGUUAGAAUUAGUGGGCUUGUUAUGGAAUAUGGGGAAUCCCAAUCCAAAGCUGUCACUCUUCCUGACACCUAACAUUGUGGAGAUGUUUCUUUUGGAUUCCGAUGAGAUCUUUGAGGAGAAGACAACCUUAGACUUUGAGAAGUUAAUCUUUUGUUCGAACCUGGUACUGAAGGUGGCAAGUAUGUCCAUAAUGGUAUUAACAUUCCUAUUGUUUUCUUGGGCGAACGGGGUAAGUUCAUCAGCAAAGAACAGGUGUGAGAUCUUAGGGCCUCCUCUACUUAUUGAGAUGGGGGACCAAUUCCUUUGAGUGACUUUUUGUUCAAUGUUUCUGGAAAGAAGUUUCAUACACAUGAUGAAGAUAUAGGGUGACCUGGGGUCCUCCUGUUUGAUUCCUCUAGUGGGCAAGAAGGGUGGUGUCCUCCCUCCACUCACCAGGAUAGAGAUGGAACUGGUGCUGAGGCAAGACAUGAUGAUAUUAGAGAGGUUUGGGGAAAGUAAAAAAAAAAGCAUUUAUUUUAUAAAGGACCAUUCUAAUCUAUCAAAAGCUUUCUCCGGUCAAUUUUGAGGAUCAUGCUGGAAUUUCUACCUUUUAUGGGCUUGAAGUGGGAAAUGUAUUCUUGUACAAUUAUGGCAUUAUCAAAGGCUCUCCUAUUGUACAAGAAACUAGCUUGACUGGGCCCAAUAGUGUUGAGGAGAUGAGGUUUGAUUCUAUUUACUAUUAUCUUAGUGAUGAAGCUGCACAUAGUGUUACAAAGCCCAGGCCUGAAGUUUUUUAGGAUUGAGGCAUCAGGGGUCUUGGGAAUGAGACAAAGAAGGGUAGAGUUAACUUCAGGGUCCAUCUUUCCAGAGGAGAAAACUUUAUGACAAAAAGAAGUGACUUAGCUCUUUACAAGUUCCCAAUACCUUUGAUAAAAAAGGGGAUGGAGUCUAUCAGACCCAGCUGCUUUUUUGGGCUCAAAGGAAAAAAAGGCUUUUUUUUAUUCCACUGUCUCUAAGUGGAGAGGAGAGACUAGAUACAACAACUUGGCUUAAAAUGUUGCCUCUAGGGUUUUCCUGGUCAGUGACCCUAGGGGAGGAGCUGAGCUCAGACUUAUAGAGAUUUAAGUAGAAAGAGAGGAUUUGCAGUUUAAUAUCUAGCUGAUUAUGGAUCCACUAUCCUGCAUCAUUUCUUAGGGCCAUGAUCUUAUUCAUUCUUCUUUUGUUAAGGGUGGUGAGGUGGAAGAAACUAGUGUUGGCAUCUCCCUCAGCUAGCUAAUUAAUCCUAGAUUUAAGGGCCCAAAAUUCUAUUUUUAACCUGAGGAUUUCACUGAAUUCUUUGGUCAAGGUCACCUCUAGAUCUACCAAGAAAUUGCGCAGAUGAUAGUUGGGGGAACUCUGGAUGCCAUUGAUUCUGGCAAGGAUUUUUUUUUCCUAGCAAAAAUGUUUUCAAAGGUAUGCUUAUUCCAAGUGAUGACAUCUUGUUGAAACGAUUUAGUGGCUGUGCAAAGGGGGUUUCUUGGCCAAAAAUUAUUCCUCACAAUGAUGUUCAGCUCGGGGUGGUUACUCCACAUAGUUUCAAACCUGAAGGGUCUAUCAUUAGUCCUCUGAUUGUUGUUGGCUAAGGAGACUAGUAGGGGGCAAUAAUCAGAGUGCACUCUAGGACUCUAGGUAGGUGAGUAACAAUGGCUUCAGGAAAGUCAGCAAUCCAGGAAUUAUUAGCAAGGCACCUGUCAAUUCUCUCAAGGAUCAGAUCUGUCUAUUAGUUUAGUGUUUGUUGAUCCGGUGAACCUACUACCUUUAUAUCCUAGAUCUAUCAGAUUAUAAUUGGUAAGACAGUCCCAAAAUAGAUUAGCUCUUCUCCUACUGAUGGGGUUAACCCCAAAAUUUUCAGAAGCUCUUAAAACUUUAUUAAAAUCCCCACCUACCAACCACUUACAGUGAUUCGUAUUGCUUAUUCUAAUGAGAUCGUCCUGAAGAGACUGUUUAAGGGCAAAGUCAUUACUAGCAUAAAUCGCAGAAAAUAGCCAUUUACAAGGGGGUUGCAUACCUGGACCAUCACAUGUAUCCCUUGAAGAUUAGUGGUUAUGUCUUCAAGACGAAGAAUUUCUUCCCUGUACAUGAUGACAAUCUUGCUGUAGCUCAACUUUGUUGAUUGGACUUCUUCCAUACAUUGGUCCUUGUUCGAUGGUUCCGCGGGGAGGGGGGGGGGGGGGGGGUGGUUCUGUCCUUUCUACAAUCUACACUUAUCCUGCUGUUUUUUUUUCCCGAACCAUUGCUUCAAAUGUUGCUUCUGUUACAUAAUGGAAGUAUAAAGAGAUUUAACUUAUUUCAAGGACGGUGUAAUGAAUUACACUAAUGGUUUAACUUUCUUUUACACUGUUAGUGUAUUUGCUUAAACUCUAAAUAUAAAAUCCUCUUUCUGAAAUUGAUCAUCUAUAUGUGGUUUAACAGGAUGGUAUAGUAAUGCGAUCAGCAUCCCUAUUAUCAUCAUCCCCCUCUUUUUGUUUAAUGGGUCAUAGCCGAGCGAUGAAUCCAUUGAUUCAUAAUGUGUACUUUGCAAAUUAUCGAAAGCAAUUAACCUGUUUAUCAUCAUCAUCAUCAUCAAGUCAAUCGACUUCAGCUUCACGUUCUCCAUCAUCGAGUUGUAAAGGAAGGUCAUGUGCAAAGGGCAAGACAUAUACUUGGGCAAACUAAAGCACCAGCUAGAGUUGAAGGCUUUGAUUGCCAAAACUCUCGUCUAGUUGCUACAAUUUGAACUUCAACAGUUGAACAUUCAAUAGGGAAAUUCGACUAUAAAACAUGUUCAAUAAAGAAGAAAUUUUGACUAGAAAAAACAAAGAGAAGAUGGAAAUUUUGGGCAUUAAUUAGCAAUAGAGGAAAGUUUUCAAUUUUAUAUUUAUUAUGCAAGUAUCUCUUAUCUUAAGCAAUUAUUUAUGUAAAGGGAUUGAUGGUUCAUCAAUUUUGUUUAUUGCCUUCUGUAAAUGCACUCAAGUGGUUCUUCACAAAUUUUGAGAAUUUGAAAAUAUGUAAUAAUAUUGUACAGAGUGGAAUAUGUUUCCUUUUUGUAUG